rnacentral:rRNA from 1 species
CGUAGGGGGCAAGCGUUAUCCGGAAUUAUUGGGCGUAAAGAGUGCGUAGGUGGUCUCGUAAGCGCGAGGUGAAAGGCAAUGGCUCAACUAUUGUAAGCCUUGCGAACUGUGAGACUUGAGUGCAGGAGAGGAAAGUGGAAUUCCUAGUGUAGCGGUGAGAUGCGUAGAUAUUAGGAGGAACACCAGUGGCGAAGGCGACUUUCUGGACUGUAACUGACACUGAGGCACGAAAGCGUGGGGAGCAAACAGGAUUAGAUACCCUGGUAGUCCACGCCGUAAACGAUGAGCACUAGGUGUCGGGGCCGCAAGGUUUCGGUGCCGCAGUUAACGCAUUAAGUGCUCCGCCUGGGGAGUACGCACGCAAGUGUG